CGACCACCCUACCUCACCCUACCUCACCUCACCUCACCUCACCUCAGCGCAGUGCAGACCGUAACGCUGCUCGCCAUCGCAACCGUCGCUUGCCGCCGCCACCGUCACAUCCUCACAGUCAAAUGAAGACUCUGUUUCUCAACCUCUCCUUGAUCUGGUAGAUUCAUUCAAAGAAUGAUAUAUGUAUACUAAAUACUCUCACACAAAGCAUCUUGGAACAGAUUUCCAGAGUCUACGGGAACCAGGUGAUUUUCCCUCUAAGUUGUACUUGUUUCUUCAUGAUAUGCAUUCCCUUUGCUGCUGGUAAAGUUUGAAGGUCAAUUGGCCUCAUAAGCACUAAAAACAGAGUGAGAUAAAUAAAGCACAAGAUGUUUAAUUUGUUUCUACAUUCAUAAUUUUUAGGCGUAUCUAAACCUAUAUAUGAAUUAUGUGUAUUUUGAUAACUAUGGAUAGAUUUUGGGUUAUUUUAGGGACAUAAAAAAUUUUAAAAAUAAUAAAAAUAAACAUAUUCUGAAUUUUCUGUAAAUUUUGAUUGAUGUUUUGUGAAACUAUUGUGUUACAUUUUAAUAUGUAUAAGAAGUUUGAACCCAUUAGCUUCAAUAAGUUUUAAUGGGGUAUGUGGCUCCACCCUUUGUGUGUGUCGGUGUGAGUAUAUAUGGUUUCUCUAUGUAUGGAAUUGUUUGCCAUCUCAAAGUUUAGCUGCAAAGAUUUAUGGUAAUAAUUUCCAGAAAAUCGAAAAAUUGAUUCCAGCUUGUGAAAAUAAAUUCAUGACAGAAAUGGAGAAGAAGAGGAGGACCAAAAUUUAUUUUGAAAAUAGUUUCUAGAAUAGUUCUCAAAUUUGUAACAUGUGAACUUGUACAAGCUUAAUUUUAGCUUUAUUUGCUUUACUAAGAGGUGGAUCUUUCAAGCGUAUUAUUCAAGAAAUUGUCAAAAGGCUCAAAAGCGUAUUAUCAUUUGUUGUUGCUAGGUGAUAAAGAACUUGAACUCUUGCCAUUAAGUGAGAAACUAAACUCUAGUUUGUUAUCAUUGGUCAUUUAUAUUCAUAUUCUUAGUUGCUUUCGGUUCCAAACCCAAAAAUGACUUCAUUACUAAAGAAUGUGUGUACACCAUUCCUUAGCCUUAGGCCUGUCCUUUGUUUUAUUUUUUUAAAUUUCACCUCAAAUUGGUCUGAAGUUUAUAAAAUCAGGAGUAAUCUAAAUUCAUUGAAUAAAGAUAACAUCGAGAAUCGAGUCAAUGGCUAUUGGUAUUGGAAUUGGAUAAAUUUUUCAAUAUCAGUAAUGGGUUUUAAACCUUGCAAAAAUGAGGCAAGCUAAAAGUUUUUAGUGGAGAUCCAAAUAGCAGGGUUUUGUCAUCUCAAUAUAUAUAUAUAUAUAUAUUCUUGGUGAAAAAAUGUGAAAAUUUGAGUUUAGGUGAGUCGAUUCGGUUGAUAGGUUCCCUUUUGAAGGUUAGCUUUAUAAACUGUACUGAUGCAUUUCAUUUGUAAUCUUGAAUUUCAAGUUUAGAGAUAAUUUGAUUUGCAUGCUUUGGUCAUAGUUGGGACAAUGUUUGUUGAGUUAAUUCAAGUAGAGUUUGUGCCAUGGCUUUGGUAAUGAUGCAGGCAGUUGAAUAAUGUGAUAAGAUCACUCUAAUCUGACAGUUAAGAAUGGUGCUUCUUGGACUUCUGUUGCAACUUGGUAUUUUAAUUGAUUUAUGGCAUGCAAUAUAUCUUAUGACUUUAUUAUUUCUUCCUCUUUAGACCAGAUGCUGGAAGUGUCUAUCAUGAAAAUUCUUGUUCUUUUGUUGCUGAUGUAGGUCAUUUAACUUGGAAAAUGGUUUGGCAUCUCACACAAAGGCCAAUCACAGUGCCGGACAAUACAUGGAUUUAAAGAGAGAGCUUCUGAGUUCUAAUUAGAAAAUCUAUGCUCAGUCUAUUAGGUCAAGAAUGAGGAAGAGGAAUUCAGCAUUGGGCAUCUUUCUGUUCUGAUGAUGAGUGUUAAAAACAACACACAGGUAAUGCAUACUUUUCUUCCCUGUAAAUUGAGGAUAAUGUUGUACCAGUGAAAUUUUGAUAGAAGGGUCAUAGUCUUUAAAUGGUUAAAAGCGGUUGUCCUUGUGGCAUGUAGAUUCAGCUAUAUUGUUUUAGGAAUGUAAACUGCAAUUACACAACAGAUGUUUUGCAACAUAUGCAGCUCUACAUCAAAAUCCAUGAAAAUCCCCUCUGUAUAUCUAUAAAAAGAAAUCCUUUUGCUGAAUGAAGUGACCAAUUUUUCUCCUGUAGUUAAAAUUUUUCUCAGUAGUUGUUGGGUUUACCACUGUAUUGAAUCAGUAAUUUUUUUUCGCAAAACAUGACAAUUGCCGACCAAGAGUUUUGGUC